rnacentral:rRNA from 1 species
AACGAACGCUGGCGGCAUGCCUAACACAUGCAAGUCGAACGAGACCUUCGGGUCUAGUGGCGCACGGGUGCGUAACGCGUGGGAACCUGCCCUUAGGUUCGGAAUAACUCCCCGAAAGGGGUGCUAAUACCGGAUAAUGUCUUCGGACCAAAGAUUUAUCGCCUUUGGAUGGGCCCGCGUUGGAUUAGCUAGUUGGUAGGGUAAAAGCCUACCAAGGCGACGAUCCAUAGCUGGUGUGAGAGGAUGAUCAGCCACACUGGACUGAGACACGGCCCAGACUCCUACGGAAGGGAGCAGUGGGGAAUAUUUGACAAUGGGCGAAAGCCUGAUCCAGCAAUGCCGCGUGAGUGAUGAAGGCCUUAGGGUUGUAAAGCUCUUUUACCCGGGAUGAUAAUGACAGUACCGGGAGAAUAAGCUCCGGCUAACUCCGUG